rnacentral:rRNA from 1 species
AUUGAACGCUGGCGGCAUGCCUUACACAUGCAAGUCGAACGGCAGCACGGGAGCAAUCCUGGUGGCGAGUGGCGAACGGGUGAGUAAUAUAUCGGAACGUGCCCAGUAGUGGGGGAUAGCCCGGCGAAAGCCGGAUUAAUACCGCAUACGACCUAUGGGUGAAAGCGGGGGAUCGCAAGACCUCGCGCUAUUGGAGCGGCCGAUAUCAGAUUAGCUUGUUGGUGGGGUAAAGCCUACCAAGGCGACGAUCUGUAGCUGGUCUGAGAGGACGACCAGCCACACUGGGACUGAGACACGGCCCAGACUCCUACGGGAGGCAGCAGUGGGGAAUUUUGGACAAUGGGCGCAAGCCUGAUCCAGCCAUGCCGCGUGCGGGAAGAAGGCCUCGGUUGUAACCGCUUUGUCAGGGAAGAAACGGUCCGACGCUAAUACCGUGGACUAA